UACAGAGGGUGCGAGCGUUGUUCGGAAUUAUUGGGCGUAAAGCGCUUGUAGGCGGCACGUCAAGUCGCGUGUGAAAUCCCCAGGCUUAACCUGGGAAGUGCGCGCGAAACUGACGAGCUUGAGUGUCGGAGAGGGUCGCGGAAUUCCCGGUGUAGAGGUGAAAUUCGUAGAUAUCGGGAGGAACACCAGUGGCGAAGGCGGCGACCUGGACGGACACUGACGCUGAGACGCGAAAGCGUGGGGAGCAAACAGG
rnacentral:rRNA from 1 species